AGCUUUGUGCAGUGGCAGUAUUGUAGCCAAUGAGGUUUAUCCGAAGCGUGAUUGAUUAUUGCUAAUUGAAAACUGUAAAUAAUCUCUACACCCAACGUUGGGCUUGAACACACAACCCUGUG
rfam:Canis lupus familiaris chromosome 38, whole genome shotgun sequence.